rnacentral:rRNA from 1 species
AUUGAACGCUGGCGGCAGGCCUAACACAUGCAAGUCGAACGAGUGGCGGACGGGUGAGUAAUGUCUGGGAAACUGGCUGAUGGAGGGGGAUAACUACUGGAAACGGUAGCUAAUACCGCAUACCAUCAAAUGUGCCCAGAUGGGAUUAGCUAGUUGGUGGGGUAACGGCUCACCAAGGCGACGAUCCCUAGCUGGUCUGAGAGGAUGACCAGCAACACUGGAACUGAUACACGGUCCAGACUCUUACGGGAGGCAGAAGUGGGGAAUAUUGCACAAUGAGCGAAAGCCUGAUGCGGCCAUGCCGCGUGUAUGAAGAAGGCCUUCGGGUUGUAAAGUACUUUCAGCGGGGAGGCGUUACCCGCAGAAGAAGCACCGGCUAACUACGUGCCAGCAGCCGCGGUAAUAC